rnacentral:piRNA from 1 species
AAGACUGGAAUGAAUUCAAUGAUAUUAAU